rnacentral:lncRNA from 1 species
AGAGAAUCUCUAUUUGGAGAUCAUCCGUCUUGGAACCCUUCUGUGAGUCCAGGAUACAGAAAAGUCCUUCUCAAUAACCCUGGAGUAUGUAAAGCAAUGUGUUGUACCUACUGUAAAAAUCUAAAUGAACAGAACUUUCAUGAAAAAGCCUUCUUCCUCAUCUGACCAUCGGAUUGGGCCUCUCUGGCAAACUGAAUAUCAAAUCUUGAACUAUCUUUUCAGCUUCAAAGUUAAGUUCACAAUCUCAAACUGGGAAUAAUGAUGUGGCUCAGAACUGCAGUUUUCUGAGGAAAAAAAAAAUUAUUAAAUAUCCCUUUAACCCAUGCAAAGGCAAAAGUAGAAAUGACAAUAAGACAAAAUGUUUAAUCUUACUUUCCUUGUAGCACCUUCUUAAAGUACUUAGCUUAACAUUCCUUAUUUCGUGCUGUCCGAUACUGUCCCUUCACAGAGUGCUCUUGCCAUUUAAAAGCACAUCACUGCCUGAUAUCUUCCCUGAUGUCUGUGUAGCAGCUAGUUACAUAACAUGAUAAAGAACACAAUUCCUAGUCCACUACUUCCUCUAAAUUAUUUGUAAUCACAGAAUGGCCUGGGUUGGAAGGGACCUCAAGGAUUAUCAAGCUCCAACCCCCCUGCUGGGCAGGGCCACCGACCUCCCCAUUUACUAGACCAGGUUGCCCAGGGCCUCAUCCAACCUGGCCUUGAACACCUCCAGGGACAGGGCAUCCAGAACCUCUCUGAGCAGCCCGUUCCAGCACCUCACCACUCUCCUGGUAAAGAACUUCCUCCUAACAUCCAACCUAAAUCUUCCCUCUUUCAACUUAAAACCAUUCCCCCUUGUCCUGCUGUUAUCUACUCUUUGAAAGAGUUUACUCCCUUCCUGUUUAUAGGCUCCCUUCAGGUACUGAAAGCCUGCAAUGAAGUCACCCUGCAGCCUUCUCUUCUCCAGGCUGAAUAAGCCCAGCUCCCUCAGCCUGUCUUUGUAGGAGAGGUGCUCCAGCCCCCUGAUCAUCUUUGUGGCCCUUCUCUGGACCCUCUCCAACAGCUCUCUGUCUUUCUUGUACUGGGGGCUCCAUACCUGGACACAGUACUCCAGAUAUAGGUUUUUUGUCAGUGUGCAUUGUACUUUGCAAAUGUGCUUUCCACCUGCAUUUAUUGCAUGGUUUAGUCAUAGUCAGCAAAUAAUAAUUUUGGCAAGGCUUUAAGUAAUUUAAAUAAACUCAACAUCAGUGUUUGUAUUUGUUCUCUUCUAAUUUGUUUCUAAACAUUUUUGGUUUUCAUUCAGUUAAUCAAUUCAUGUUUUCCCUUCAUUUCUCCAGAAGAGAGCAUCCUCAUUCUUGACCUAAAUAUGCAGGAUUUUUUAAUGCUUAUUUACAUAGUUAUCUUCAUUGUUUAGAAGAGAGGUGCAGUGAUCUGUUUGGAUAUGUCCAUAAAUUUAGAUCAAUGUCUAACCCAAGAGCUUAAAAUGAAACUGUGAGCUCUCAAAGCCUUGGGCAUCUUAUGAAAUUCAAGUGCUAGUACGCUUAAUGAAAUAUUGAAAAGAAAGUUAAAAAUGAGAAAUACUUGUUUUGUCUUUACAGUUUACCACUCUUAUACCAUUAUUAGGAGCACUGGUUAAAUAUUACACAAUAAAAAUUGAAUUAAUUUUUAUGUAUUUAUAUGAAGACAAGGCAUUACAUAUAACUAUAAUAAAAUCACAAUGCAGAUGUAAUAUGCUCACUGUAAAACACGUACACCUAAUUACUUAUAUUGACAAACUUAGAACUUAAAAAGCAGUACUGUUGAACAUCAAAUUAUGUAUUUACGGAGCUAAAUAUCAGUUAAUUUUAUUUUUAGCUCUAUAUACGCUGAUUAACUAUGACUUACAUUACAGUUCACUGGACUUAGUUCUCACUAUACACAAGUGGUAAGUUUGGUGAUAGUGCAUACGUUCCCUAACAUUUGGCCUAUAUGGGACUAAUUCUUAAAAAUCACAAAAUUAUCAAGCUUGGAAAGGACCCUGAGAGCAUUUCAUUUAACUUCCCACUCACAGUAUGGUCAGUGCAUAUUUCAGACUAGCUUCCUUCAGACUUUGUGCAGCUGUAUCUUGAAAACUUUCAACAGGUCCUAUAACUGCUCUGGGUAACCUGCUAUAGUGCUGAGCUACUCUACAGUGAUUUUUGCCCCCUUUUAUCAGAUUGAAACCUCCCAUUUCAAUUUGGCAUCAUUGUCUCCUAGUGUCUCACAGUGAAAUUCUUUAAUGAUACUGGCUCUACCAUCUUAAUCUCUUUGUCAGCAAUAGGAGACUAAUGUCAAGCCUUUCCAGAAAAGCUUGUUUCUCAGCCUCUCCUCAAAGGGCAAGUCCUUCAGCCCCCUAGCUGCCUUGAAAUGUAGCACUUGUCACAGUUUAUCAUGUAUGGAUCAAGAAUUUCCAGAAGAGAUCCCUCUUUUGAUCAAUUUCCACUAGUGGUAGCUCCCUUUCUGGAACAAUGUUUCUAGGUACAAAAUCCUGAAAGAUCGUGUUGGAGACUAUACAAAGAAGGCUUUGAGUACCUCAGCUUUAAGUGUAUCUACUCUCAUUAAAUCAUAAGUCCCUCUGAACAACAGGCCAUUUUUUCUUUGUUUACCAUUAAUCCACUAAUAUACAUGUAGAAAAACUUGCUGCUCUUGAUGUUCCUCACUGGUUUUAAUUCUAGCUUUGCUUUGACUUUUCUAAUAUCAUCCCAGUCUAAUAAAGAGAUUCCUUUGGGGCAGACUUUGAAUUAUGUAGUACAUUGGUUGGGAGAAUCCCUUGGGAGUCAGUCCUGAAGGACAGAGGGUGCAUGAAGGCUGGUCAUUUCUGAAGAAGGUAACAUGCUGUCUCUGUGUGCCAUAAAAUGAGUCAGCAGGGAAGAAGAUGAGCAUGGUUGAACAGGAAGAUUUUGCUGGGGGGAAAGAAAAAAAAAAAAAGAGUUGCUGUGGAUGGAUGACUGACCCAGGGAGGUCAUGUUUAUCUCCCCCUGGGUCAGUGCGAGCAAAACAGCUGCUAUGGAUCACUGUCUCACACAGAACAACAAUGGGAGUAGGUGAAAGGAAUGCGGAGCUGUGAUAGAGACCGCUGUGCCAGGUGCUGUGAGACAAGCUGCAAGCAACUGCAAGUUGUGAGAACUGUGCCUUGUUGUACUUAGCAUGUUAUUUGUACUGCUCUAUAUAAAUGUCUGUGUGUAGUUAUUAAAUGGCUUGGCUACUAG